UACGUAGGGUGCAAGCGUUAAUCGGAAUUACUGGGCGUAAAGCGUGCGCAGGCGGUUAUGCAAGACAGAGGUGAAAUCCCCGGGCUCAACCUGGGAACUGCCUUUGUGACUGCAUAGCUAGAGUACGGUAGAGGGGGAUGGGAAUUCCGCGUGUAGCAGUGAAAUGCGUAGAUAUGCGGAGGAACACCGAUGGCGAAGGCAAUCCCCUGGACCUGUACUGACG
rnacentral:rRNA from 1 species